rnacentral:rRNA from 1 species
AUUGAACGCUGGCGGAAUGCUUUACACAUGCAAGUCGAACGGCAGCACGGGGCAACCUGGUGGCGAGUGGCGAACGGGUGAGUAAUACAUCGGAACGUGCCCAAUCGUGGGGGAUAACGUAGCGAAAGUUACGCUAAUACCGCAUACGAUCUACGGAUGAAAGCGGGGGAUCUUUGGACCUCGCGCGAUUGGAGCGGCCGAUGUCGGAUUAGCUAGUAGGUGAGGUAAAGGCUCACCUAGGCGACGAUCCGUAGCGGGUCUGAGAGGAUGAUCCGCCACACUGGGACUGAGACACGGCCCAGACUCCUACGGGAGGCAGCAGUGGGGAAUUUUGGACAAUGGGGGCAACCCUGAUCCAGCCAUGCCGCGUGAGUGAAGAAGGCCUUCGGGUUGUAAAGCUCUUUCGGCCGGGAAGAAAUCGCAUGGGUCAAUACCCUGUGUGGAUGACGGUACCGGAAUAAGAAGCACCGGCUAACUACGUG